rnacentral:rRNA from 3 species
AAAUUGAAGAGUUUGAUCAUGGCUCAGAUUGAACGCUGGCGGCAGGCCUAACACAUGCAAGUCGAGCGGUAGCACAGAGAGCUUGCUCUCGGGUGACGAGCGGCGGACGGGUGAGUAAUGUCUGGGAAACUGCCUGAUGGAGGGGGAUAACUACUGGAAACGGUAGCUAAUACCGCAUAACGUCGCAAGACCAAAGUGGGGGACCUUCGGGCCUCAUGCCAUCAGAUGUGCCCAGAUGGGAUUAGCUAGUAGGUGGGGUAACGGCUCACCUAGGCGACGAUCCCUAGCUGGUCUGAGAGGAUGACCAGCCACACUGGAACUGAGACACGGUCCAGACUCCUACGGGAGGCAGCAGUGGGGAAUAUUGCACAAUGGGCGCAAGCCUGAUGCAGCCAUGCCGCGUGUGUGAAGAAGGCCUUCGGGUUGUAAAGCACUUUCAGCGGGGAGGAAGGCGUUAAGGUUAAUAACCUCAUCGAUUGACGUUACCCGCAGAAGAAGCACCGGCUAACUCCGUGCCAGCAGCCGCGGUAAUACGGAGGGUGCAAGCGUUAAUCGGAAUUACUGGGCGUAAAGCGCACGCAGGCGGUCUGUCAAGUCGGAUGUGAAAUCCCCGGGCUCAACCUGGGAACUGCAUUCGAAACUGGCAGGCUAGAGUCUUGUAGAGGGGGGUAGAAUUCCAGGUGUAGCGGUGAAAUGCGUAGAGAUCUGGAGGAAUACCGGUGGCGAAGGCGGCCCCCUGGACAAAGACUGACGCUCAGGUGCGAAAGCGUGGGGAGCAAACAGGAUUAGAUACCCUGGUAGUCCACGCCGUAAACGAUGUCGAUUUGGAGGUUGUGCCCUUGAGGCGUGGCUUCCGGAGCUAACGCGUUAAAUCGACCGCCUGGGGAGUACGGCCGCAAGGUUAAAACUCAAAUGAAUUGACGGGGGCCCGCACAAGCGGUGGAGCAUGUGGUUUAAUUCGAUGCAACGCGAAGAACCUUACCUGGUCUUGACAUCCACAGAACUUAGCAGAGAUGCUUUGGUGCCUUCGGGAACUGUGAGACAGGUGCUGCAUGGCUGUCGUCAGCUCGUGUUGUGAAAUGUUGGGUUAAGUCCCGCAACGAGCGCAACCCUUAUCCUUUGUUGCCAGCGGUCCGGCCGGGAACUCAAAGGAGACUGCCAGUGAUAAACUGGAGGAAGGUGGGGAUGACGUCAAGUCAUCAUGGCCCUUACGACCAGGGCUACACACGUGCUACAAUGGCAUAUACAAAGAGAAGCGACCUCGCGAGAGCAAGCGGACCUCAUAAAGUAUGUCGUAGUCCGGAUUGGAGUCUGCAACUCGACUCCAUGAAGUCGGAAUCGCUAGUAAUCGUAGAUCAGAAUGCUACGGUGAAUACGUUCCCGGGCCUUGUACACACCGCCCGUCACACCAUGGGAGUGGGUUGCAAAAGAAGUAGGUAGCUUAACCUUCGGGAGGGCGCUUACCACUUUGUGAUUCAUGACUGGGGUGAAGUCGUAACAAGGUAACCGUAGGGGAACCUGCGGUUGGAUCACCUCCUUA